GUGCCAGCAGCCGCGGUAAUACGUAGGUGGCAAGCGUUAUCCGGAAUUAUUGGGCGUAAAGCGCGCGUAGGCGGUUUUUUAAGUCUGAUGUGAAAGCCCACGGCUCAACCGUGGAGGGUCAUUGGAAACUGGAAAACUUGAGUGCAGAAGAGGAAAGUGGAAUUCCAUGUGUAGCGGUGAAAUGCGCAGAGAUAUGGAGGAACACCAGUGGCGAAGGCGACUUUCUGGUUUGUAACUGACGCUGAUGUGCGAAAGCGUGGGGAUCAAACAGGAUUAGA
rnacentral:rRNA from 1 species